CGCAUCUGGCUCUGCCUCUCUGUGCCGAGCACUGGCGAUUGGAGUCACCCAACCUUGUUCUAAGGCUGGGUACCAAGCUCCUGUCGCUGUCUACUCUGAGAGCGUUCCCAAAUUCAAACCCAGAUACUUCUGUGAGGCAGAAGCAUGGGUUCAAACAUGGAUUUGACUGCAAAAGGAAAGACCACUGAAGGAAAAGGCCUGACUGGCUACCUUCUUGCCAAGAGGUUUUCCCUGGCCAGUCCCUCUAUGCUCCUUCCCUCCAAGCCAUUGUCUCCCAUCCAGAAGAUCUCUCCUUGUUCCAAGCCAAGCUAGAUAUGCAGCGGAGAGCAGGAGAAUGGGAAAAAUGGCAGCAGCUAUGAUGAGGACAGUAGAAAAAAACAGGAGCUGAGUUCUGAGGGAACAGGAUACUUCCUUGCUCUAUUUCACUGAGGGGGUUAUGAAGAAGGGGUCAUUGGGACCACUCUUGAUCCCCCCCAUACUCCAGGCAAUAAGUCCCAUUCUUGGCAGCACUGCGGGGUCUCUGCAAAGCUCUCCACAGCUGGAAUUCCAGGAGUGUCAGGAGAUGAGACGCUGAUUUCCACCGCCGUCACCGCGGGAGACACGGUGGCUGACGCCGCCACCAUUGAGCUGUCAGCACCAGAGUCCGCCCGGUGGGAAAAAGCUCUUGGACCACGGCGAGCCUGAGAGGGUUUCCGCUCCUUCUGCUCAGCUCCAGCAGCACUAUUGCCACUGAGAGACUCUUCUGGCUCCUGCCGGGUUCCGGGUUUUCAGAGGAGCGAAGACGCAGCUUCUGCACACCCCAGAAGAUGACUUCAGACCAGGAACCGCUGUUGUUUUUUGUUUUCUAAGGGUCGACGGUUCAGUAAGAUUCAAUAUUAGCAUGGGAGGGCCCCGGUUAGUGAAUCUGGGUGGAGGCACCCCCGUUCCCGUGGAGGGAAAGGGCACGUGAGCGUGCAGUGUGCGGGGUGCCGCUGUUGGUUUUUAGACCUUUUUAGGUUUUCUUCUUUGUUUUUUUCAGCAGCAGGUGGGUGAGGCUUGCUGGUGGUCAGAAUGGGUGGGAAAUUGUCCACGCAGCAGAAAGAGAUUUAUUACCAAGUAAAAGUAACCCUGACAGAGUCAGGAAAAAGUUUUUCUAAAAGUUUUGUGAACAAGUUUAUAAAGUGGUUGAUUUUAAGAUUUCCAAAUGUCUCAGCUCAGGAUGUGAGGAAAAUGGGUUUUUGGAAGCAUGUUGGGGCAGUUUUAACAGAAGGCACCAAGAAAGGGGACCCUUCAGUCAAAAAAGGCUUCAUGAGGAUCUUUUUGUUAGUUUAUGACAUGGUUAAAGAAGGUGCAGACAGUCGGGAAACGCGGGAAGCUGAAAAGAGCCCAUCUGCUUUAUUCCCCCCAUCUCCCCGACCCCCACGGUCUGAAAAUGCUAAUCGCUGUGUUGAAACUUCAGUUUCUAACCCCUCUUCUGAUUCUUUUCACAGUUGUGGCUGUUCCCAGAAAUGCUGUACCCCUUCUAAUCCCUUCCCACGCCCCCCACGGGACGAACCGCCACAAGAUGGCGGAGGCCGCGUGGCGGGGGUCUUUGUCUCAUCACAAGAUGGACAAAGAAGCACGGCGGAAACUCCUCCUUCCCAGGUACCCCCCCACACACCAGUCCCUGACCCUCCUUCCCUUUGUCCUGACCCCUCCUCCUCCUCUCUUGCGGCAGACCAAACCCCUCCCAGGUGCUGUUGCAGGCCUCCACCCACAGCACCGCCCCUCCAGGUGGUUCCUUCAGCUCCACCUCUCGAGUUUGCACCACCCGAUCCCGCCCUGCUCCACACGGCAUCACCAACCUCAGCCACUCCCACACAAACCUCCACCCCCGAGCCUCCGGACCCUGCCCCCCGCCUCCUGUUUCCCAAGCUCCGGCCUCUGGUUCCCAUGGCGACGGGAAAGGCAGGGAGGCCGAAGCUGAGAAACAGAAAGCAGGCAAGGAUUCAAACUCCUUGUUUCUCACGCCAGUGUUGUACAACGCGAGAGGGCAAAACCCCAGAUGGGAACCAUUUUCAUACGAAUGCAUAAAGGAACUCUGAAAAACAAAAUGUGAAUUUGGGAAAAAAAGCAAAUUUUUUCGGAGCAUGUUAAAAGCAACUUUCAAUUCUAACACCUUAGUUCCUACUGAUUUAAAGCGCUUGUUCAGUUGCUUGCUCCCUCCAUCAGAAUACAGAAUGUGGGAAAGAAUUUGGAAAAGGUUUGCAGGAGACCUUCUUCCAGGAAUUUUGCAGAGUCCCAAUUUGCAAAAGAUAUAGAAGGUGACGAGAUCACCCUCGAAUAUCUUCGAGUGGGUGAAGGGGAUUGGAACCAAGACCAAAAACAAGCAGCAGGGAUUCCAAAACCAGUGUUAGACCUCUCAAAAGACGCAGCAGAAUGGGCAUUAGUAUGCCCUCAAAAGAACCUAUAAUACCUUAUAUCGCUCUCAAGCAAUCUGUUUCAGAGCCAUUCAUGGAUUUUGUUGAUCGAGUGAGAGACACGGUUGAGAAAAAGGUGGAAGGACAAGAAGCACGAGAUGAAAUCACGUUUGAAAUUGUCACCACAAAUGCAAAUGAAGCCUGUCGACGAGUCAUCAUGGGUCUUCCAGCAUCACCUCCACCUACGCUGGAUCAGCUCAUCGAGAUUAGGAGGAUGUCAAUUCCUACAUUCCUGCUCCUCAUUUGGCUCCAUAUAAGCAGGAGAAUGAGGACUGGUUCAAGGGCAUGUUUAAGGGCUGGGAUCUUUCUGGGUGGGUGUUGUCCCUCUAAAGGACAUUUGUUAUUUUGUAGUUGCAAUUUUUUUAGUUUUGCUAUCAUUUGGGAUUUUUAAGCGAAUCAUUUCUAGCAUUGCUUCCUCCAAGUUUGCAGCCUCCGCACCUGUUGUAGUUGCUGCUGCCACCACGGGAGGAGAAUGGUGGGAAGAUGGAAAACAAAACAACACUGCAGUUUGAUAGCCGCAGUUUCUCCUUCCCCCAAAGCUCUGUUCUUUUUAUUAAACAAAAAAGAGGGUGAUGUUGUAGUGUACAGCUACGCAAACGGAGCAAAAAGGCUUUGUGAAUUUGAGAUGGGAGUUUCUGUUUCCUAAACCUAAAGCUGAAGUUUCUAUUCUGUAUUUUUACGUGUAUUCAUCCUUCCCCCUGAAGUUAUUCCCAUUGGAUUUUACCUAUAAUGUAUUCAUACUGGGCAUUGUUCUAUUGGUUUCACCUUAUCUCUUAUUUUCCCCUAUAUAACCUGUAACUCAACCCCAGACCGUUGUCACUUGUACGUGCAAUGUUCGAGCAAAUACAACCUACUUUGGACUGCACAACAAGUGUCCAAUCUCUUGAGUCUCUUUAUCCCGGUCUUGAUCGCGCUCUCUAAACAGCUCUGUCUGUA